UACGGGGGGGGCAAGCGUUUGUUCGGAAUUACUGGGCGUAAAGGGCGCGUAGGCGGCCUGCUAAGUCGGAUGUGAAAUCCCUCGGCUCAACCGAGGAACUGCAUCCGAUACUGGCAGACUUGAGGACGGUAGAGGUUGGUGGAAUAGCCGGUGUACCGGUGAAAUGGGCAGAUAUCGGCUAGAACACCAGUGGCGAAGGCGGCCAACUGGGCCGUUCCUGACGCUGAGACGCGAAAGCCAGGGGAGCGAACCGG
rnacentral:rRNA from 1 species